UCCUACGGGAGGCAGCAGUGAGGAAUAUUGGACAAUGGGCGCAAGCCUGAUCCAGCCAUGCCGCGUGCAGGAUGACGGUCCUAUGGAUUGUAAACUGCUUUUAUACGAGAAGAAACAACUCUACGUGUAGAGUCUGACGGUAUCGUAAGA
rnacentral:rRNA from 1 species